rnacentral:rRNA from 1 species
CGCGUAGGCGGACCUUCAAGUCGGAUGUGAAAUCUUGCAGCUCAACUGCAAGCCUGCAUUCGAAACUGGCGGUCUUGAGUACAGUAGAGGAAAGCGGAAUUCCAGGUGUAGCGGUGAAAUGCGUAGAUAUCUGGAAGAACACCAGUAGCGAAGGCGGCUUUCUGGGCUGAUACUGACGCUGAAGCGCGAAGGCUUGGGUAGCAAACAGGAUUAGAUACCCUGGUAGUC